ACCCCCCACUCUACCUCCGCCCCAACCCUCCUGGGUCUUCAGGAAAGAGAGGAGAUGGAACCCCAAAUAUGGGGGACCUGCUUCAGGCGUGCUAAUGUGGAGCCUCCCAGAGACUGCAAGUGGAAUGCACUGAUCCCAGAAACCAGAGGCUUUGGCUGGGCAGUCCUGCAGGAAGACCCAGCUCUUACCAGCUCUGAACUUGAAGAUGCUCAACAUCUCUGCACCUCAAUUUCCUCAUCCACAAAAUAGAGUGAAUAAUAAAUUCAGAGUUUAUUGUAGGGAUUAAAAAAGGAUUAUGUUGUUUUUAUUAAAAAAUUUUAAAAUGUUUAUUUUUGAGAGAGAGAGAG